UGGGGAAUUUUGGACAAUGGGCGCAAGCCUGAUCCAGCCAUGCCGCGUGCGGGAAGAAGGCCUUCGGGUUGUAAACCGCUUUUGUCAGGGAAGAAAUCUUCUGAGUUAAUACCUCGGGAGGAUGACGGUACCUGAAGAAUAAGCACCGGCUAACUACGUGCCAGCAGCCGCGGUAAUACGUGGGGUGCAAGCGUUAAUCGGAAUUACUGGGCGUAAAGCGUGCGCAGGCGGUUUUGUAAGACAGAGGUGAAAUCCCCGGGCUCAACCUGGGAACUGCCUUUGUGACUGCAAGGCUUGAGUGCGGCAGAGGGGGGAUGGAAUUCCGCGUGUAGCAGUGAAAUGCGUAGAUAUGCGGAGGAACACCGAUGGCGAAGGCAAUCCCCUGGGCCUGCACUGACGCUCAUGCACGAAAGCGUGGGGAGCAAAC
rnacentral:rRNA from 1 species